rnacentral:lncRNA from 1 species
GACGCUGCCACUAGGAGAAUCCCAGAUGCCCAAACUGGGAAAACCCUUAUGAUGGAUUUCAGUUCUUCUACUCGAUGCACCGUCGCCAGCCGCCACAGGUUAGGUUUCCCUGAACCAUCUUCGCUUAUCUGUCUUGCAUCUUCCUCUGUCACUAUUGUUGCUUUGUCUAGGCACCUGUUGUCAUCAAUGAAAUGGAGUUAGUUAUAUAUUAUGGUCACUGUAUUGAAAAUCGGAUCUCAAUAACUCUGAAUGGUUGGAAAAAGGUUCAAAAUAGCUUCUAUAGUAUUCAGCCUUUAGAAGAAAUAAUGUUUGGAUAAUUUCAAUAAGUUAUUUGGACAACUUCAAUAAGUUAUAUGUACAAAUGGUAGUUAUCAUGAUUCGAAAUAAAGAUUUUUCGAUUUUUGAAGGCUAUGACGUCAUAUUAUGAACAUUUAUAUCCCAAUAACUUGAGUUGUUGGGAGAGGGUUUAGAUUGACUUCCGUUUGUACGACUUCCGUAAAUAUUCACAAAUUGAGGGGUUACCGGGAUUUUCGAAAUUGGAGGAUUCUCGGAUUUGGUUUGGCAGGUGAAAUGUGGAAUGGAAUUUGGAUGGGAAUGAGAAAGUUAGAUCCAAAAUACACUCCUUUGGGAUGUAAAUUUCCCGGUCGAAUGGAAAAAUGCUCAGGAUUUCAUUCCACAUCCCAACUGACAAAUCAAGCCCGAGGUUUUGAUAUCAUGUCAUGAACCUUUACAUCUCAAUAACUCAAAUUCGGGUGUUCAGUUUUGAUUCUAAUAUUAUUGACCAACAAUCAAGAUUUUACUUGCGUACCUGAACUGAUUGGUGUGCACCAGCCUUCCAUUGACAGAAAUCAGAGCAUCAAGUUGGCGGUUCUGAUACAAAAGUUGAGGGUCUUGGGGAGCUACCGUUUUCCUCUUUUUGAUGGAAGCAAUUAUGACUUGUGCCAAUCUGAUAAGAGGGCUCCCUCCAG